CGCGAUUCGUUGCAUGGCAACGAAUAAUUCCCUUAGUAGUGGCGAGCGAAAAGGGAUAUAGCCCAGAUCCCGGUUUCCAGAUGAGAUUUUAUUUCGUUUGGAAGCCGGGAAGUUGUAAGAGAUCAGCUAUCGGGGGCUCUUCCAUCGGUUCAGACCGAAUCGAUGGAAGAGUGUCACCCGAGGGAGAACAAAAAGGUGCAAUUUGGUUAGCAGAACGGCCCUGGAAAGGCCGGCCACAGAAGGUGAGAGCCCUGUACGCAAAAACUAUUGCAUGCUCCUAUGUUGAUCCCCCGACGUUACGUCGGGGGGCUCCUACUCACAAAGUUAGUAACCAGUUACUAGUUACUAAUUUGGUGGGUUGGAGUUUUCUUGAGUACUGCCCCGCAUGGAGACUGGGCAGGAAACAGGGAGAACUAGACUCCCAAGGCUAAAUACUAACGGAACACCGAUAGUGAACUAGUACCGUGAGGGAAAGGUGAAAAGCAGCCCGGUGAGGGCGAUGAAAUAGUACCUGAAACCAUGCGCUUACAAGGACUGAUAGCCCAGCACCUUUUUUACAUUUGAGUCGUUUUUUCAUUGUUGUCUCAAAAAAGUAUUGGGACGAAAAAGAGAUUUCGAUUCGAGCGUAAAAAUGGUGCUGGGUGGUCAGGUGCCUAUUGAAGAAUGAGCCAACGAGUUUUUAGAUUCUACUCGUCUAAGCGCCUACGGCGCAGAGGCAUAGCGAAAGCGAGUGUGAAUAGCGCGUUCAUCCGAUCACCGAAGGUGAUUUAGGAUUUCCUAAAUCGUUUUCUAACGAUCGGAUAAAGUAGAAUUUAAAAGACCCGAAACCAUGUGAGCUACCCAUGAGCAGGGUGAACGCCGGGUAACACCGGCGGGAGGCCCGAACCGGUGAGUCGUUCAACGCUCUCGGAUGACUUGUGGGUAGGAGUGAAAAGCUAAUCGAACAUGGAAAUAGCUGGUUCUCUUCGAAAUAGCUUUUGGGCUAGCCUCGGAUUAUGUUUUUGCGGAGGUAGAGCUACUGGAUGGUCUGUAAUGGCGAAAGCCAGGCAGACCAACCAAACUCCAAAUGCCGCAAAAAUUAUGCCGGGAGUCAGCAGGCGGGGGCUAAGCUCCGUCGUGCAAGAGGGAAACAGCCCUGAGACCGUCAACUAAGGUCCCUAAAUCCACGCUCAGUGUGAAAGGCGGUGAAAUUUCUCAAACAGCGAGGAGGUUGGCUUAGAAGCAGCCAUCCUUUAAAGAGUGCGUAACAGCUCACUCGUCUAGAGAUCUUGCGCCCAAGAUUCAACGGGGCUCAAGCGUGGUACCGAAGUUACGGAUGCGUAGGCUUCAUUGAGGAGUUAUUCGCUAGUACGUCAGCUUUUCGACACGAUUCGUCCCGUCCAGCGCGGGACUCACUAAGAGUCGAACAAAAUUCUUUCUCCGCCAGUCGGCGGAGAAAGACCAAGCAAUUUUGUUCGCCUAUUGUCGAAAAGCUGACGUACUAGCUCAUUGUGAGAUGGGUUGAAAUUGUAUUUUUUGCCGACCAUUGUCGGAUAAAAUCAAAAACAACUCAUUGUGAAGUGAGCUUAAGGUAUUUUUGUCUCGAUGAGACAAAAACGAUUUGAACUCAUUGUGAAAUUAUUAGUGGUAGCAUACUGUCGAGUCGAGAGUCGAAGAAUUGUUCAACGGCUUGAACAAGCGACGCGAUUUAACAAGUCCGCCUAGGGCGGACGAUCUAACGAUUCUAACUUCGGAUAUCGAUUCGGCAGUAUGCAAAGAGUGGUAGGUCGGUAGCUCAGUCGGCAGAGUGCUCGCAACCGCAAGGCCUGGAACCUUGUGUGGUUAAGCGAGAAGCCGGAGGUUCGAGUCCUCCCCGGCCUGCCAAAAAUUCAUUGAGGCGGAGAAAUUCCCGAGUUGGUAUCGGGUAGGCGGAUUAGAUACCCGCCCCGCCUCAGCCAGAUUUAUGGCCGAUGACUGCGUCGGGACGGAAAGAGCGGCGGGGCGGCCAUUACGGCGCCUCUGCCAAAAUUCCGUCUGGCAGUUUGUCGGCCGUCAGGGGGCGUUCGUCGCGGUCGAGUGACCGCAGUUCUGGGGACGAGUAGUCGCGCCCCCGCCCCCGCCGAUGGAUGUCGGCGCCACGUGGGAAUGCCGAGGAUUCUCGCGAGAGAUCGUCUCGGUGGGUGGCGUCGGCAUCCUGUCGGUUCCAUGUUCUUUCGAGAUUUCGAUUUCGAGCGGGGAGGGAGAUGUAAGUAUGGGGGUUGCCCCCAGAACGCCCUGGCCAGGG
rnacentral:rRNA from 1 species